UACAGAGGUCUCAAGCGUUGUUCGGAUUCAUUGGGCGUAAAGGGUGCGUAGGCGGCGCGGUAAGUCGGGUGUGAAAUCUUGGAGCUUAACUCCGAAACUGCAUUCGAUACUGCCGUGCUUGAGGACUGGAGAGGAGACUGGAAUUUACGGUGUAGCGGUGAAAUGCGUAGAUAUCGUAAGGAAGACAGUGGCGAAGGCGGGUCUCUGGGCAUUACCUGACGCUGAGGCGCGAAAGCUAGGGGAGCAAACGGG
rnacentral:rRNA from 1 species